AUGCGCGGAGCCGCCAUGGAGUCGGAGGGUCCCUCUGAGCCGGGUUUCGUGGGCAUCCGCUUCUGCCAGGAGUGUAACAACAUGCUGUACCCCAAGGAGGACAAGGAGAGCCGCGUGCUGCUUUAUGCGGUGAGACCCCACGGCUCGGGCACCUCCCACGGGCCCAGCACAGCCCCGAGCCGCGUCCCUCAGAGCUGGGCCCGGGCCGUGAUCCUGUGAUCUGCUGUGCAUCUCCAACAUAGAUCUGCAACCUGAAGAGCUUUGGAAUGUUACGGUGUGCCUUUGAAUUCCUCAGUUCUGGGUCAGCGUUCAGCUGCGGUUCAGACACCAAUGUUGCAGAUUCUGUCAUGCAGACACAUUAGUGGAGGAAAAGCAUCCAUGUCCUCACUCUUUGGGCUCUGUUAAAUGCUGUGUUUGGGGCAGAGGAUCCGCUGAUUCAUGUCAGGACAGCACAUUUUUAGGGCGUUUGAGGCUCUCCCUCGUGUGCUGUAGCAUACUGUAGGCUGUCCUGCGCAAGGUUACAGCUCUGCUAUCUGGCAUUUAAACAUAAAGAUGUUUAAAUGGUAAUAAGAUGGAAAUGCUGCUGGAUAGCUGUAUGUGGGCAGCUGCAUAGCCACUUCUGUAUAGCUGGAAAGAAAGGGAGUGCUGAGAUCUUCUACAGGUAUGUGAAAAUUGAGAGUUCUGCACCUUGAACCUGGAUUCCUGUGUUCUGAUUAGCAUCCAGAGUCAAGUAGGGGAACAUCUGAGUUCACAUAUCCUCAGAGGUGCAAGCACAGGGCAGUUGAGACCAAGACUGAUGGGUACACCAGUUAUCCUCUGUGCUGUAUUCCACUCCCUUUGUCUCUCAACACCUGUGUUAUUUAUUUAUUUAUGUAUUUAUUUGGUUUGAUGGGCACUACAGAUCUUGCUUGAUCUGUGCAGAUUUGCAGGUCUGUGCUUUAAAAACAGUUCUCAGUUGUGGUGGAGCAAGUAGAAAUACAUAAAAUCAUAUCCACUGAGCAGUGCUCAUCAUUCAGGUGAAUUCGGAGUAACCAUGCUGAGGAGCAUUUUAUUGUGAGUGAAUUGAAUCUGAGUUCACACUGAAAUUCUGGUUACUUGUUGACACAGUGCAGUAGGACUCCUUCAGAGUCCACACCAGAAUGUGCUGAUCCUUACUGCACCCUCAGUUUGCAUGAACGAGAGCUCAGGCAAGGGACUUGCAAAGAUCUCCAUGAAAAGGAGUAGGUUUUUUUUUCAGAGAAGUACAUGCUCACAUUUUACUGUUUUUCCUUUCACAGAAUCACAGAAUGGCCUAGGUUGGAAGGGACCUCAAGGAUCAUGAAUCUCCAACCCCCCUGCUGGGCAGGGCCACCAACCUCCCCAUUUACUAGACCAGGUUGCCCAGGGCCCCAUCCAACCUGGCCUUGAACACCUCUAGGGAUGGGACAUCCACAACCUCUCUGGGCAGCCCGUUCCAGCACCUCACCACUCUCCUUGUAAAGAACUUCCCCUAACAUCCAAUCUAAAUCUUCCCUCUUUCAACUUAAAACUGUUCCCCCUUGUCCUGCUGUUAUCUACCCUUUCAAAGAGUUUACUCCCUUCCUGUUUAUAGGCUCCAUUCAGGUACUGAAAGGCUGCAAUGAGGUCACCGCGCAGCCUUCUCUUCUCCAGGCUGAAUAAGCCCAGCUCCCUCAGCCUGUCUUUCAUGAGUAGGUCAUGGUGUCCAGAGAAAAUGGGUCCAACAGUAGCUCCAUCACCAAGUCCUCCCUCCUGACACUUGCAGAAUCACAAGAGCUGCAGCUCCUGCACUUCCAGCUCUUCCUGGGCAUCUACCUGGCUGCCCUCCUGGGCUACAGCCUCCUUAUCACAGCCGUAGCCUGUGGACACUGCCUGCACCCCCCCCAUCGACUUCUCCUUGGCCUGGGCUGCAUCUCCUCCACUUCCCCCAAAGCCAUGGCCAAUGCUUUCUGAGGCACCAGGAACAUCUUUGAUGCUUCUGAUGCAGGGUGUGUUGCCUAGCUGUUUUUCAUUUUCUUGCUUACAGCAGAGUACUCCCUUCUCACUAUCAUGUCAUGAAUGCUGUGGCCAUCUGCAAGCCUCCACACUUGCAGCCAUACAAUAUAAACACACAGCCAUAUCAAUAUAAUGCCUCCUAUUCAGAAGUAAAUACACUCAGUAGCUGAACUAUAUUUGAAAAAUUGUGAUUAUGUUGUCUUGCAUAUGUUAUAUCUAAGGCUGUGAAAGUUUGUUACAGCUCUAGAAAGUGUAGAAACAUGACAGUAUGUAGCUUUGGGACAAGCUGGCACAAGCUGUGCUGCCCAGCAGGGUCUCAUAGUGCAGGGGCUUGCAGAUGGCAACCUAGUGGUCAUAGGACAUCACAGUGAGAAGGGAAUGUUCUGCUGACAUCAGAAAGACAAACAGAAAGCACCGUGCAGCAUAUCCAGCAUAGGAGAUGUCCCUGGUGUCCCAGAGGGCAUUGGCCAUGGCUUUGGGGAGGGUGGUGGAAGUGCAGCCCAGGUCGAGGAGGACAAGGUUGAGGAGGAAGAAGUCCAUGGGGGUGUGCAGGCGGUGGUCGCAGGCUAUGGCUGUGCUGAUGAGGCCGUUGCCCAGGAGGGCAGCCAGGUAGAUGCCCAGGAAGAGCCAGAAGUGCAGGAGCUGCAGCUGCCGUGUGUCUGUGAAUGCCAGGAGGAGGAACUCACUGAUGGAGCUGCUGUUUGACAUCUGCUGCUCUUGACACAGGGACCUGUCCAAGGAGGAUGACAAGAAGAUAUGUUAGAAAAGCCUGCAGAGGAGUCAGUCCCGCUCUAUACCUUUGGGCACAUGGAAGUUUCCACCAGUCUCUUCUGUAUCUGAAAGGGAAUGAUUUCUGUGGUUGUGUCGCUUAAUUUUGAUAGAAUAGACCCUGUCUUCAAAUGACUGUGAAAUACUCACGAUUUUUUCCAGUUCCUGCAUGAGUUGGACUAGACGACCUUUGGGAGUCCCUUCCAAUUCUAAGGAUUCUGUGAUCCUAUGAUUCUAUCUACGAGAAAAGUAAUCUACAGCCUUAGUAUGCAUGCUUCCUCUGAUGAAAGUAAGCUUCUCACCUUGCGCUCCAGGACACAAGAAGUCAUCUCGGUGUCUACUUAAGUGUCUUUCCCAAAUUUAGAUUGCCUCCAGUAUUUUGGGAAUUGAUGAAGAGAUAAAAAGAUUUCCCUUUUUCUUCCCUUGAAAUACAAUCCAGUAAUGAGAGAGAAAAUUUUCCUCACUGUCGUUUAGGAAACAAUCAGUUCAGGCUGUCCACCAGGCUUGUUACUAACUGCUCAGUGCUUGCCCCUCGCUCAGUUGGAGUAUGGCUGCACACACAAGUUGCUCUGACAAGAAGCCCAGACUGUCCAACUCCUGUCUCCCUCAGUCUCAGCCCAGUUCCGGGGAGAAUGAGGAAAGGAACGUGGUGAGGCUUCUGAACGACGUGGUGGGAGUUGAGGGAGGUUAACAUCUCCCAUUAGCACUGCUGUUGCCAGAGACUGCUGGAGAGAGAACAGGAGCAGUGCAUAGAAAUAGGGAAGAACUAAAGAUGCAGCGAUUCCUGAGGAAAGCGAAGAAGCAAGAGACAGCUGUGCGCUCCAGAAAGCCUUGUCCUCACCCAACAGCUCACACACCUUCCAGACUGCACAGUCACAGGCUGUGACCCUCAGCCUCUUUUAUCUGCAGAGCAAAAGGGGCCCACGUCAGGAGAGAUGCACCUUUGCUGUGCGGAGCUGUGGUUGCAGAGGAGCAGCUCACGGCCUGGAGCCAUGGCCUUGGAGGCAGAGGCAGUGCUGAGUGGGAGGCCAGAACAAGGGGCUUGCUCACAGGAAGGCAUCUGCAGUGCAGGGACAGAUAGCAUCCCAAACCCACCCUGCAGAGCCUUUCUCUCCCAAGUUCCCUCUGCCUCUGUCCCUGGAUCUGCAACCUGGAUCUGUCCCUUGCAGCACCUGCUGCCCACAUCUCCUUCUUAUCAUCACUCACAGAACCCAGCCCAGCCCCUGCACACUCAGCUGUGCCCUGCAGACCCCUCCUGGUAGCAGGACAGUGUUCAGGAGCAUCUCCCUGUUUGCAGGUACCAAAUAGCACAUCAGACAAACCCUGAUGCGGUCAGCAGAGGGAUUCUGGUGCUGUCUGUAGUCAGAGGAGUGGGUGCGGGGAGUUUAUGAUGUGUCUGGAAGCUCUGAUUUUGGCCCAGUAUAAUAAUUAAGAGUGUCAAUGACGUACUCAAAAUCACUGUCCAUUUCCAUUAGGAUAAAAUUAAGGCACAGACACCACAAAGUUCUUACCUUAAAGAUUAACCCUGCCUUCAUGAUAUACAUGGAGAUAUACAUCUCCGAGCCCAGAGAGUGGUAGUGAACGGAGUUAAAUCCAGCUGGCAACCGGUCACGAGUGGUGUUCCCAGGGGUUGGUGCUGGGGCCUGUCCUCUUUAAUAUCUUUAUUGAUGACCGGGAUGAGGGUAUUGAGUGCACCCUCAGUAAGGGUGGACUCAGUAAGGUAAGAGAGGAGACGUGACCUGCUGGAUCUCAUACACAUCAGCAAGGAGGGACUUGUUGGGGAUGUGAACAUAAAAGGACCAUGGGCUGUAGAGACUGCGAGGUGGUGGAGCUGAGGCUUCUAAAGGGAGGGCAGAAGACAAGCUCACAGCCCUGGGCUUCAAGAGAGCAGAACAUGGCUUCUUCAAGAGUCUGUGGGGUAUGGUCCCACAUUGUAAGGCUCUGGGGACAAUAGGGAUUCAAGAAGUUGUUUAAUAUCCAUGGGUCACCUCGUGCAAGCAAAAGAGAUUCACCCCAAAGAGGAGGAAAUCAGGCAAAAAUGCCACAAGUCCUGCAUGAAUGGGAAAAGUUCUACAUGGACAAAUCCAAACAUAAAACAGAAGCCCAAAGAAACCGGAAAGAAGAGGAGGAAACCUGGCAACAACACAGAGACCUUAUCAGCAUAUACUUGCCUGGACAAAUUCAGGAAAGCUAGAGCUCAAAAGCUAUUCACUGUUCCCAGACGUGUCAAAGACAGUAAAAGCUUCUAGAAAAAUACAGGUGACAGAAGGAAAGAUAGGGAGACUGUGGGUCCACAGCUGAAUGGAGCAGGGUACCUGGUGGGAAAAAAACAUGGAAAGUGUUGUGAUACUCAGUUCCUUCCUGACCUCACUCCUUUUUAGCCAGUCUGGUCUACAUGGAAUUCUGAGGGCCAGAGGCUGGUGGAAAAUUUUAGCACAAGGCAGAUGUACCUGUGGUGAAAGAGGAAGUGAUCAGGGUCAAGCAAACAGAACAUACAGGAGCUCGAGUUGGAAAGGAAUCAUGAGGGUGAUAGAAUCAUACCACACCUUGGAUUGGAAGGAACCUUAAUGCCCAUCAAGCUCCAACAUUCUUGUUAUUCUCAGGGCACCAUGCAACCUUAUCUUGAACAUGGGGCAUCCACAAAUCCUCUGGGCAAAUCCUGUGGUGCAUGUGAUCAUCAAAAAAUUAUUUAAACAAAUAAGAAACUUAUCAUAUCCCAGUGAGAAACAUUCAGCGCAAAGACUGUGGGAUAUCAUGGAUAAUCUAGGCAGGGAGAAUCUGGGGGGGAAAGGGGCAGGGGGCAACCAGACAGUAUAGAAGUCAAAAUAGAUCUUUGUUUUGAAGCUGUAGGGAUAAAAGUUGUUAUUUAAUGUCAGUACCGCUGGGAUCAAGAAUUGAAGAGAAAGAUCCAAAUCAAAGAAAAUGUGCCAACACACCUUUCAGAUUCUAAAGUGCUCGGCCACACCUCUGUAUUUGAUCUCCCUCACACUGUAGGUGUUGUCAGCUCUCCCAAAUAAAUGGCCAUGGCUAAGGGUGUGUUUCCUGCAGGCAAUCUGGACGUGUGGCCUUCCCACUGCUCUUCAGAUUUCCCCCUCCCUUUGCCCUUUGUUCUUUCUGAUCCCUCCAGCUAUGUGUUUAAUCUAGGAGCUUCAAGAAGUCAGAAACUUGUGCCAUCUCAAAAGUCUAAUGAACUCUUUAGACAACUUCUUAACUGUAUUUAUAUGUACCCCUUCCUUUCUCUGUCAAAAAUACUUCUUGUGCAAAAAUUCCCCAUGGAAGGCAGGCAGCUUGAACAUGGCAUCCGGCUGAGGACAGUGUUUUACUAUUCAUUCCAUUGCAUCACGUGUAUUCCUGUUUGUUGGCAACAAGGAGAAAUCCCUCUGUGCCCAUGUGCAGCUGGUUGUCUGAGGAAAGCAAGUGGGAGUUGAUGCAAAGGAAAAGCAACACCGAACUGAUGACUUCAAAGGAGAAGGCUGAUGUGAGGAAAAGGGAUGAAAAUCCCACGGGGCCAAUGUGAGUAGGGAUGGGCUUGGGGAGGCUGAGGAGAAAGUUUGUCCACACUGUGAAAGAGCAAACCUCAUUAGGAGACACCUGGGAUGAAUACUGUCUGCAAAGUGCUGCCUUAAUUUUCUCUUAGUACUGGAGAAAAAAAGAUGAAGAAAUAAAUAGACUCAUUAAAUGUA